rnacentral:tRNA from 1 species
UUUAUGGAGUGGUGAGCUCCUCUUAUCA